rnacentral:rRNA from 1 species
UAGGAUUCCCUAGUAGCGGCGAGCGAAAAGGGAAAAGUCCAGCACGUAGAAUCGCAACUGUUAUGGUUGUUGAUUGAUGCCGUGUACAGGUGCGGCCAUUAUCUCAUAUUAUAAUUAGUAUGUUCAAGUCCUUCUUGAAUGAGGCAAUAUACCCACAGAGGGUGAUAGGCCCGUAUAACUGCUAUGAUAUAUGAGAGGUUGUUACCUAGGAGUCGUGUUGCUUGAAAGUGCAGCACUAAGCGGGAGGUAAACUCCUUCUAAGACUAAAUAUUACCAUGAGACCGAUAGCGAACAAGUACCGUGAGGGAAAGUUGAAAAGCACUCUGAAUAGAGAGUCAAAAAGUACGUGAAACUGUCUAGGGUUAAGAAAGCAUGAAGUGUCUAAAUAUCUGAAUGGAGAAAUUCAGUAUCAUAUUGUUGUAGUUAUAUUAUAACGAAGCAUAUGGUGUGCACUUUUCUCCUUGUAAGACACUGCGAUCCAUUAGAACCUUGUGUUAAUAAUGACCAUGAUGUGCAUUAUUAUAUCUAUCAAUGGGCCUGGCAUGGAGCUUACAUAUUUAAUGUCAGUACUGUAUAUUGUUAAGGUGAUAUACAGGAAAGCAAUGUAAACUGCUGGUGACUCGUAUAGAUGUCUGAUGGAUUUUAGGCGACCACAAUGCGACACCUCGGUGUGUAACCAGCAAUGGUUUAUUGUAUUGUGCCGGAUCAGCAGUGUAUUUGUUUAGUAAUCUUCAUGA